rnacentral:misc_RNA from 1 species
GGAAUCUUGCGCAAUGGGCGAAAGCCUGACGCAGCAACACCGUGUGGGCGACGAAGGCCUUCGGGUCGUAAAGCCCUGUUGUUGGGGACGAAGGGCGAAGGGUUAAUAGCCCCUAGUCUGACGGUACCCUUCGAGGAAGCCCCGGCUAACUACGUGCCAGCAGCCGCGGUAAUACGUAGGGGGCGAGCGUUGUCCGGAAUUAUUGGGCGUAAAGAGCGUGUAGGCGGUUCGGUAAGUCUGCCGUGAAAACCCGGGGCUCAACCCUGGGCGUGCGGUGGAUACUGCCGGGCUAGAGGGUGGUAGAGGCGAGUGGAAUUCCCGGUGUAGCGGUGAAAUGCGCAGAUAUCGGGAGGAACACCAGUAGCGAAGGCGGCUCGCUGGGCCAUUCCUGACGCUGAGACGCGAAAGCUAGGGGAGCGAACAGGA